AUCUCUGGACUAUAGUAGCUGCAAUGGAUGACUUUGAACGUGAUUUUGAAGAGUUUCUUGUAGCAGACACAGAUCCAGAGCCAUACCUGUUUGAGCCGGAGCAUACAGAUGAGGAACUCCAUGUGUUUGAUGCUGAGCGGGCGAGAAGAGAGGCUGAAUGCACAGAAUGGGAUUCGGUGCUACUGCUACCAUCCUUGGGGAGAUAUAUCAUCAGGAGGAAAAGCGCUGCAGAGAGUGCAUCACAAGGAGUGAAGUUAUGUCUUCUUUUCCUCGCAUAUGAUGGUUCGGGUUCAUUCCUUCCUGUUGCGUGCGGUGCUCUUUUCUGCCACCCUGCUGGGGACUCACACGACCUGGCAGCAGAAACCGCGGCGGCAGCCAUGGUGCUGAGAGCAGCAACAAGGAAAGCUCAUGCAGCCAAACUGAAAUGACAUCAUGCCGAGGGGAAGUUGGGCUGAAUACGUACCCACAAGGCCCUGCAGGAGAACCAGGCACUGACGGCAGGAGGGGUUUCUGCUCAACAGGAGGAUGAGAUAUUUAUCAGGGAGGAAAAUAUGAUGUCUGAAAAGGUAAUUCCUGGCACAGAUGAAGGUAUUUGUCAAGUGCUGCGAAAACACAUGGACUGGAAAUGUGGAAAAUGUCCUCUGUGUUUUGAGCUGAUGAUGAGGAGAGAUAGAGGAUGGACAGAUGGGAUGGAAGGGCUUUGAUGAAAAGGAACGGGGUGAAGAAGCAAUAAAUAUAUCCCGAUGGAAAAAAAGAGGACAUAAAACACUGUGGCUGGAGAGGAGAAAGGGGACAUUCUUUGUGUUCACAGUUCCCCUCUUUAAAGAACCGCUCUGGCUCCAGUCCCUGCAGUUCCUUAGUGACAAGAGGGUCUGGCCGAGUCAAGAGCUACAGGAUUGUUAUAAAAGGUUCACUCUACUGUUUUAAGGCUCAGAUGGCUUGUUUGAAUCUAAAGCCAAUUAUCAGCUUAAAGACCCCAGAGAAAACCCUGUGAUCCAGUUAAUAAAUCCCCAUUUGCUUACAGAAACUGUCGUGGGGCCCUCACAGCAUGUCAGCUUAACGGUCACACAUGUCUUGAUCCCCUGGCCCACCAUUGCAUUCAUCUUUGAUCACCACCUUAAAGGUCCAGUGUGUAUGAUUCAGGGGGAUAUAUUGGCAGAAAUGGAAUAUCAUAUAAUAAGUAUGUUUUCUUUAGUGUAUAAUCACCUGAAAAUAAAAACUGUUGUGUUUUUGUUACCUUAGAAUGAACCGUUUAUAUCUACAUAGGGAGCAGGUCCACAGAGUCCACCGUGUUGCACCGCCAUGUUCCUACAACAGCCCAGAACGAACAAACCAAAUACUGGCUCUAGAUAGGGCCAUUCUUAUUUUCGUGCUGGCAGCCUUGGAGAAACAGUUUUUUUAACGUGAGACUGCUUUAUUCAGUGUUUUUGCCAGUUCAAAUCACUGGCCGCUUUUGUUUUGGAAAGGAAGAGACCUCUGUGGAUAAUUCAGCCCCCGAUAAAAACCUCAUGGAGUUCAGCUUUGACACAUGGGAGAAGUUUCUGCUGGUUGCAAUCUGCAAUUGCUAGAUGCUGGAUGCUGCCAAAUCCUACACACUGCUCCUUUAAAACAGUGGGUGCUGGGCUAGCAGCCCGUCUGUGAUGUGUCGAAUAGCUUCGGAGAAACGCCGCUUUGUAAUGUAAACUGCUUUUACCGGUUUUAAUCUAUGGGUCCGAUUGUUUUUGUGGAUAAUUAGGCUCCUGGUAAAAACCUCCUGAACAAUGAACACUGAGGGAACUCUAACCCUGAGAAGUUUCAGCUGGUUACAAUCUGCAGUCUUCACUGCUAGAUGCCACCAAAUCCCCCUAAAUCUUACAAACUGGACUAAUAAUGUAGAAUUGUAUUUACCUCAGUCUAAUUUGUGCUUGAGGAAACAUAUAUAAGGGAUGAACUCUGCACAACAUGGAGCUAUUACAGGCUUUGACUUGUGCUCAGCGCCACAGCACCAUUUCCAUGGAAAUUUAAGGUAUGCCUACUCUACACAAACUCAGUGUGAACUCACUCAUCUGGAAUUCUCCAUGCCGCUCUCCUCCAGGUUGAACAAGCUCAGCCCCCGACAGCUAAUGACACAUAUUAGGGAAUCCUGCACAAAUACUGAAUAAUUAGAAAGAAAGUCAAACAGAAGUGACAAAGACAAACCAGUGGCUUUCUUUUUCAGUUUCCCUUAUUUGUUUUCCACUCUUCACCUUCACACAGUGACAGACUAAUAACGCACUUCCCUGAAAAGUGGUCAGAUGUUAAUGAACAUGACAGUCAUUUCUCUUGAGGGGGAAAAAGUGGGUCUCUGAGGCGUAUUUUCUUUGUUUUCUUAAAUGAAUCAUCUUGGAAAGUGUGAGAGUGUGGGUCAGACAAAAUGACUGAGUGAUGAAGAUUUGGGGGUCAGGGGUUUAGAAGAAAGGUCACAGACCUUCAGGACCUCAGUGUGAAAGUGACGGAAAAUACACCUCUAACUCUGUUAAAUAGCUUCUGUGUUGCUUUGUGAAAGGGAAAUUCUUUUUUUUAUUUAUGACCCUCAUCAGAAACAGUAGUGAGGUGCAGUAGUACAAUGGAAAUAUGUGAACAAACGAUCAUGCCAUUUAUAUGAGGCCAGUACAUACAGUAAGUCUUAGUAAAAGAUUCAGGCCCAUUUACACAACAGCGAUUUCAACUGAAAACAGUAAACUUUAGUUGCGUUUUGGCCGAUUGUUUACACGACAACUGUGUUUUGGGUGCCCGAAAACGAUUUUAAAACGGGUUCCAGAGUGCAACUUUUUGGAAACGGCAGCGUCUCUGUUGUCAUGUAAACUUGCAAUAUGCAGUUCCUCUGAAAACGGAGAGUUUUCGCACAUGCGAAUUACGGUUCCAGUCACUAUGCAUGCCGACUGUCACAACAACAAUGCCAAGCUCUGUUUGUGCUGUGGUGUUGCUUUGCAAAUUUACACUGCCACCCGUUGGUCUGGCAUGCAUACUACAGCGUUUCCAGUAGAUUUUGCGGCUCCGUGUGGACGGGGAUCGUUUCAAUAACGUCAUCAUAUAAACGCACAAGUUUUUUAAAACACAAAGGACAGACUUUUCUGUUUUUAGAGAAACCGUUGUCAUCUAAACAGGGCCUUAGACCCACAGGGCACCUGUGCUGUAGUGGUUCUCAGACUUUUUGGUUUGUGACACUUUAAAAUAAAGUAAGACUUACUUGUGUCACCACAGUGAAUGACAUCAGUGUGAACAGGAAGUAAGAUUUCCUUCUCAGAUUAAUUUGAAGGGUUUUAACCCAUUCUCAUUCCCAGGUCGUCACACACUGACACUUUGUCAGGCCUCUCUGCAGUGCACAGGCCAUCCUUUAGGGUCUGUAUUUGACACACAGUGGAAACACAUUGUAACACAUGGUUAAUGUUGUGAAACGGUUGUGGUUACAUUUCAGGUAACAGGACUGAUUAAGAAAAAAAGUCAUGUUUAGGCUUAAAAUAAGUGAAUUUCUUACUGGGGCUGGCACAAUAUCAGAUUUUAAAUACAAGAUUAUUGUGGCAAAAAGAGUAAAUAAUGAUAACAAUAUUAAUGCAAUACCUACAGAAAAAUCGUCAAAAAAUCAGUCACAUUCAUCUUUAACUUUGUUUAUUGUGUGUUUUCUCUCUUUUUUGGCAAAUGAAUUACACCAUAAAUACAAGUGUAUGAAGGUGGAGAGAGACUGUAACCAUAACAGUAUAAAAUCAUGCAGAAAGAGCAAUUACUUUUUCUGGAGUAAUGACUGAAUGAUUACCGGAAUAUUGCGACAUCCCUAUGUGUUAAAUUACAAUUGCUCUUUAUGCCACAUCACUUGCUCUCGGUGUCAAGUAUUGCCAUGGAUAUAUUUACAUUGGAGUUAGUUGAAAGUCCAGUGUGUCUCAUGAAGAUACCAAACGAAGCCUUUGGCGUCGACAUCACAUGCCAAGGGUUGUGACAAAGUGUCAGUAUUUUACAACAUGGGGAUGAAAACAGGUUGGUUAUGCUAACCGUAUGAUGGUAAGUUUAUUCUUAAAUAAUGGGGAUGCAUUUGCUCCACUUGCUUGGUUGCUCAGACGUUUAUUGGGGGAUGGCACCUGGUUGAGAAAUAGUCCCAAACAUAACUUCCUGCAAAACCAUGAAUUAUUUGUCUUUACACUUCCACUGCUGUACAAAUUAAACAAACUAGAUAAAAAUGUGUGAGCUUUUUCCACCGGUUUCCAGUCUUUAUGCUAAGCUAAGCUAACCAGCUGCUGGCAGUAGUUUCAUAUUUAGUAUACAGACAUGAGAAUGGCUUUAAUCUAAUCAUCUAACUCUCAGCAAGCAAGCAAGUAUAACAGUUUUGCAGAAGGUUAAACUAUUCCCUUCAUUUAGAAAAUCUAUGUUAUUAAUUUUCAGUAAAACAAAAAUAGAAAGGAAACAUAUGGAUUAAAUAUAUAACUGCAAUUUUUGGCAGUUCCACUUUCUUUUUUCCUCUCCUCUUUGUCUGUUUCACUUUAAAGUAUUACAGCAUAUAUAAAGUCUAAAUCUCACCAAGAGAGCAAAUAAGCAUAUUUUCCAAAAAGUGAAACUAUUCCUUUUAAGCCUUUAUUUUGGAAAACUGUAUCAAAGUCUCCAGUACAUAUUUCUUCAUACGUCAACCUGUGUAGAUUAAUGUGUGUGCUAAGAAGUCUGCUGAAGAUUAAACAAAGAAAAACUUUCAGGGUCAAGUGUCCCACCUGUCUGCUGUCUGUUGUACGGUAGAUUAGCAGUUCCCUCUCUAACACGUGUUUUUAGGUUCAUUCAUGGUUCAGUUUUCAGAUGAGGACCUGCAGUAAAGGAAAAACCUGCCUUCAAACAGUUAAAAACGGCUGUUGGUCGUAUAUCUUUCAUUUCUGAAUCCAUUUGCUUUGUUUGACAUGUUCAUUCAAUUGUUCAAGCUUUACCUGCUUAUUACUGUCAGGAGUCACAAGAAGCUGCAGCCUUGAGGCUCCCAGCAUGCUUUGGGUGGUGGAAAAGUGUAAAUAAACACUGUGGAGGGGUCUAAUACAGACAGUCACAGGUCACAUUUUAGACUAUAAAUUCGCCUGACUUGCAUGUCUGGCAUUUAAAAGCAGGGAGAACUUGUCAACUCCAGAUGAAAGAAAAUUCCUGGACUGAGACCCGACCCUGUGUCACUGACACACAGCCGCCUCUGUUUAAUGGUGUCAUUCUUUCCCCGCUGCACUGCAGACUAUGAGCUCCACGUCACACAUUCUGCUCAUUUAGACAUGGACACCAGGUGGGACAGCCACGUUAAUGGUCACCCUUUGGCUAUACAGCAUCAGAUCAGUCACUAAUUGUGACUGAACAGGCCCUCUGGUCAGGGAGCAGACCAACAUGAGAGUAUU